CUCGUGUCGUGAGAUGUUGGGUUAAGUCCCGCAACGAGCGCAACCCUCGCCUCUAGUUGCCAGCAUCGGUUGGGCACUCUAGAGGGACUGCCGGCGACAAGUCGGAGGAAGUGGGGAUGACGUCAAAUCAUCAUGCCCCUUAUGACCUGGGCUACACACGUGCUACAAUGGGCGGUACAAAGGGCUGCGAACCCGCGAGGGGGAGCGAAUCCCAAAAAGCCGCUCUCAGUUCGGAUUGCAGGCUGCAACUCGCCUGCAUGAAGCCGGAAUCGCUAGUAAUCGCGGAUCAGCAUGCCGCGGUCGAAUACGUUCCCGGGCCUU
rnacentral:rRNA from 1 species